rnacentral:rRNA from 1 species
UGGGGAAUAUUGCACAAUGGGGGAAACCCUGAUGCAGCGACGCCGCGUGAACGAAGAAGGUAUUCGUAUCGUAAAGUUCUGCCCUAUGGGAAGAUAAUGACAGUACCAUAGAAGAAAGCUCCGCCUAAAUACGUGCCAGCAGCCGCGGUAAUACGUAUGGAGCGAGCGUUGUCCGGAAUUAUUGGGCGUAAAGGGUACGCAGGCGGUUUAAUAAGUCGAAUGUUAAAGAUCGGGGCCCAAACCCGUAAAACAUUGUAAACAGAUGAACUUGAGUAGUGGAGAGGAAAGUAGAAUUCCUAGUGUAGUGGUGAAAUACGUAGAUAUUAGGGGGAAUACCAGUGGCGAAGGCGACUUUCUGAACACAAACAGAAGCAGAGGUACGAAAGCGUGGGGAGCAAACAGG